rnacentral:rRNA from 1 species
GUCCACACAGUAAACGAUGAAUACUCGCUGUUUGCGAUAUACAGUAAGCGGCCAAGCGAAAGCGUUAAGUAUUCCACCUGGGGAGUACGCCGGCAACGGUGAAACUCAAAGGAAUUGACGGGGGCCCCGCACAAGCGGAGGAACAUGUGGUUUAAUUCGAUGAUACGCGAGGAACCUUACCCGGGCUUGAAUUGCAACUGAAUGAUGUGGAGACAUGUCAGCCGCAAGGCAGUUGUGAAGGUGCUGCAUGGUUGUCGU